rnacentral:rRNA from 1 species
UAAUUCGAUGCAACGCGAAGAACCUUACCUACUCUUGACAUCCAGAGAACUUUUCCAGAGAUGGAUUGGUGCCUUCGGGAACUCUGAGACAGGUGCUGCAUGGCUGUCGUCAGCUCGUGUUGUGAAAUGUUGGGUUAAGUCCCGCAACGAGCGCAACCCUUAUCCUUGUUUGCCAGCACGUAAUGGUGGGAACUCCAGGGAGACUGCCGGUGAUAAACCGGAGGAAGGUGGGGACGACGUCAAGUCAUCAUGGCCCUUACGAGUAGGGCUACACACGUGCUACAAUGGCGUAUACAGAGGGCUGCCAACCAGCGAUGGUGAGCGAAUCCCAGAAAGUACGUCGUAGUCCGGAUUGGAGUCUGCAACUCGACUCCAUGAAGUCGGAAUCGCUAGUAAUCGUGAAUCAGAAUGUCACGGUGAAUACGUUCCCGGGCCUUGUACACACCGCCCGUCACACCAUGGGAGUGGGCUGCACCAGAAGUAGAUAGCUUAACCUUCGGGAGGGCGUUUACCACGGUGUGGUUCAUGGGCUGGGGUGAAGUCGUAACAAGGUAACCAAGGG